rnacentral:rRNA from 1 species
UACGUAGGGCGCGAGCGUUGUCCGGAAUCAUUGGGCGUAAAGAGCUCGUAGGCGGCCGGUUGCGUCUGCUGUGAAAUCCCGGGGCUUAACCCCGGGCGUGCAGUGGAUACGGGCUGGCUGGAGGCAGGCAGGGGAGAAUGGAAUUCCCGGUGUAGCGGUGAAAUGCGCAGAUAUCGGGAGGAACACCGGUGGCGAAGGCGGCGAUCUGGACGAUGACUGACGCUGAGACGCGAAAGCGUGGGGAGCAAACAGG